GGGCAAGGAGUUGAGUAGGGAGCCCCAGGGCCUGCUGAACUCAGCCAUCUGGGAGCCCAAGCUAGUUCCAGCUUCAGUCACCAACGGCAUGUGCUCAAAAAUGAAUUCAUGAGCAAGCAUAAGUCAUCUUUGGGAUUUAAGGGUGGAGAAGUCUGGGAAAAAAACUGGACUUCCAGAUCACUUAUAAGAUGGGACCUAUUGUCAUAUACUUUAGAUCUUAAAGUGAAGGACAGCACGAGCACGUGCCGUGCCAGAGUGCGGGAAGAGCACUUUGCUUUGGCACAGAAAGCUGUGGAAAUUGAAUAUUUGGAACAGGUGGGAACCAAUCCGUUAUUGAGCCCCUGCCUUGUGCCAGCUGCUCUGUGUGCUUGGGAUACGUGAGUGCCCAAGAGAGCUGCUGUUGGAGACCCGCACUGCUGCUCCGGAACGCUGACGGCCCUUCCCUGUGGGCGGAUCACACUUCUCAUUUCCCGUCCUCACUAGGAUGGCAUUUAGCCGAGACACGCAGGAGAUGCUAAGCCAAAUAAGAAUAUGAUUGUGCAUGUGAUUGGCAUUUGCUGUGAGCACCAGAAACUUGCAAGAUAAAGUCUAAGCCCCACGCAUCACCUGUAAGAGCUGUGACUUACCUCUGCCUGCCAUUCCAGCCUCACCAGUGGGACUCCCCUGCUCACCUAGAAGCCCCACCAACACCAGACUGCUUGCACACCCCUGCAUCCAUCCUUGCCCGGUCCUGCGCUCCAGCCCCCACGCCCACCAUCGCCAUCUCCCUCAUGUGCUGAUAAUCCUUCCUUAGUCUUCAGGGGUGAACUUGGCUCUUUCUUUGCCCACAAAGCCUUUCCUCACUUAGCACCAGAGCCCCCGCAGGGGACUCCCCACCUUUGAGGUGCUCUUGGACCUUGGACCUAGUCUAAUCAGUGUGCUCCCGUCAGUGCGGAAGUGAUCUGUUCACCUCUCUGCUCCCCCAGAAGGCUGUGCGCUCCUUAGGGACGAUACCCACCCCUGCUGAGUACUCAGCAUGGAACCGUGUUCAGGACAGGGUUCUGUACAGCCGGGGUCCCUGUGCAGCGAAGGCAUUAAGGGUAGCAGGUUCUGUAUAGACGUUCAUUCACAUGGUCCUGUCACUUGACAACAAUGGGUUAUUGCUAUGAAAUUAGGAAUGCUAAGAAAUAAUACUAUCCAAUCUGCAAAAAGAUACACAUGCAGAAAGAGGAACUGAUGUGAAAAGAUACAAAAAAUAAUAACUAUGUAAACUUUAUUUACACUCACACUGGAAAACAAGAGCACAUGUAAGACUGAUUCACAAUUGCACAUCAGUGGUUUCUGUACAGAAUAGACAUUAAAAAUGAGAGGUUAUGAUUCAUCUAAAAAUAGAUACAACAUUCAAAACAGAUAUUCAGUAUUCACUAUAAAGUUCUAAAGGGUGCUACUAGGCAAAACAAACCAAAACAGAUGACAAAACAGGGUGGGAAGAAUUGACUUUCCAUACCCGAUUCUUCUGUGAGCUGAGGAUUCAUUCACUGAAAAUACCAGAAUAUGUUUGGAAAAGGUUCCUUCUCUGCUGUUAGCUUUCUGACAGGAAAAUCUUCCUAAAUUACUUGAAUCUAUUUUGACUUAAGUAAGUGGGGAUUAAAAUUAUCUCUCUCACAGAGAAGUCUUGAGGUAUACAUAAGAAUAUAUGUGUCAUGUAUUUGCAGAAAGCUUCACCCAAAAUUAGUCCUCACUGCAGUUUAAAGAUGGAAUAACAGAGUGAAAAGAAAAAUCAGAAAUUCCAUACCAUUUAAAUUUAUUCUGGCGUCAGAUCUUUGCAUUUAGUACAGAGGGUAGCCAACCAUUUCUGCAGAGCCAGAUAGAAACGUUUUUGACUUUGGAAGCCAUAUGGGCCAGUGUCGCAAUCAGUCGAUUCUGCCAGUUAGGGCCAGAGCAGUUAAUACAUAUGUAUGAACAGACAUGGUUGUGUUCCCAUACAGUUCUUUUUUACAAACACAGGCCAGGAUUGGACCCCAGGCCAUAUUUUUUGUAAAUCUUUGAUGUAGUAGAUUAGAAGUUAUGAGUAUGAAUCAGACUUUUGGCAAAAAAUUUUUUAUAUUCCUUUUACUUUUGGCUUAAUACAACCUAGCAUCCUAUUUGCAAUUUUGUUUUAAUUGGUUACUCUCUGUACUUCGGAAAUAAAGUUACAUGCUCUUUUAGUAUAUUUCUAGGGAAAAUUGUUUAAGAGAGUCCUGUAAAGAUCAGCUGUCUUUUGUUCCCAAGGAAAUCACUACUUAAAUACAUUCCAAAUGAAUGAAAAUAAAAGUUACAUAUGUUAGGAAAAUAGAAUUCUGGUGCUGACUGAUAAUCACUGCUUUCCUCUAGGAAACUAAUGGCUAGAAGAAAAGGAAAGAUAAGCAAAUUCCAAUAAUUUCAUGGCAUAGAAAGGCAAAUACAUCAUAUUGAUCAGUCAUUUCGAAAUUUAAUUGGAAACAUCCAGUAAGCCUUCCACUUGUUAAUUUAGUUGUACAUCACCUACCCCCAAAAAAUAUUGACUACUCUGUUCUUAUUUGUUUUUCUGCUUAUUUUGCCACCAGAGAGAAAAAAACAAAAAAUACCAGUUCAAAAAUAUUUAAUCUUUACAUGAGCUACCUGCUCUCUUCCUUGUAUGAAUCAUUUUCCAUUGAUUGUCUUUUUUCGUUCAGAGAAAACCUUGCUUACCUGCUCGAGUCUGGAAUUGGAGUCCGGUGCUUCUGAAACUAUUUGACAAGCCACAGCGUGAUGAGACCUGCGGCCCUUCCAGAUCCAGAAGCAGCCUGUAGGGGCUCUAGUUCUAAGUCAAGCAAGAUACAAAUAUGGAAUGUGACCCAGAAUAGCUCUCAUGACAGCCAUUGUUCCUAUUAACUUGUCAACAAGGCCUUUAUGAAGAUCAAAAACUUGAAAUCACAUGCAAACUUCAGUGCUAUAUUGCCCAACUAACUGGCCACAUGCUGUUUAGAGUAACAUAUAAAAUGACUUUACAAUACUGUAGGACAUGAAACUCUUGGAAAUCCUAGGGACAGAAUAAGAAGAUGCAAGAAGGAGUCAAUAUUUUAAUGUCUCUGAGGCAAUGAGCAAAAUUACAUUUGCUGAUGAAGGCACAAAUAGGCUCAGAAUCUGGAUUCAUCGUUUGCAGUGACAUCAAGAAGCAAACUGAAGAGCAUCUCAGAAAAGCUCGAGGACCCAAAUGUUCCAAAGCCCAGAGCUGCAGACCUUUGGCGCUCGCUUCCCAGAAGAUGCCGUGCUGUGGGCGAGGCUGCGUUGCUCUGCUGGUGUUAAUUUUGCAGAUGUCUCGUCUUUUAUAUUAUAGCUGAUCAAAUAUAAAUACAUGUCUAGAACUAGAUUGCUUGGAACUUGCUCAAGAUUGACCUGUGACCUUCAUUUAUGAAGAAUGGAUAUGCUUGAUUGCUCCAUACUGACACUGGGCAUGUUCAAUUAAUGCUUACAUUAUAAAGAAUGUGCAAACAACACAAACGGAAAUUAAAUCCUUUUCGCUAUCU